AUACUUACCUGGCAGGGGAGAUACCAUGAUCACGAAGGUGGUUUUCCCAGGGCGAGGCUUAUCCAUUGCACUCCGGAUGUGCUGACCCCUGCGAUUUCCCCAAAUGUGGGAAACUCGACUGCAUAAUUUGUGGCAGUGGGGGACUGCGUUCGCGCUUUCCCCUG
rnacentral:snRNA from 1 species